rnacentral:rRNA from 1 species
GUGGGGAAUUUUGGACAAUGGGGGCAACCCUGAUCCAGCCAUGCCGCGUGCGGGAAGAAGGCCUUCGGGUUGUAAACCGCUUUUGUCCGGGAAGAAAAGAUUCCUCCUAAUACGAGGGGUUCUUGACGGUACCGGAAGAAUAAGCACCGGCUAACUACGUGCCAGCAGCCGCGGUAAUACGUAGGGUGCGAGCGUUAAUCGGAAUUACUGGGCGUAAAGCGUGCGCAGGCGGUUCGCUAAGUCUGAUGUGAAAGCCCCGGGCUCAACCUGGGAAUGGCAUUGGAAACUGGCGGGCUUGAGUGUGGCAGAGGGGGGUGGAAUUCCACGUGUAGCAGUGAAAUGCGUAGAGAUGUGGAGGAACACCGAUGGCGAAGGCAGCCCCCUGGGCUAACACUGACGCUCAGGCACGAAAGCGUGGGGAGCAAACAGGAUUAGAUACCCCAGUAGUCC